GACGAACGCUGGCGGCGUGCUUAACACAUGCAAGUCGAACGGUGAAGGGACUGGUUUUGCUGGUCCUGGAUGAGUGGCGAACGGGUGAGUAACACGUGAGUAACCUGCCCCCUUCUUCUGGAUAACCGCAUGAAAGUGUGGCUAAUGCGGGAUAUUCUGGGUCUGUCGCAUGGUGGGCCUGGGAAAGAUUGCGCCUUUUUUGGUGUUUUUGGUGGGGGAUGGGCUCGCGGCCUAUCAGCUUGUUGGUGGGGUGAUGGCCUACCAAGGCGGUGACGGGUAGCCGGCCUGAGAGGGUGGACGGUCACACUGGGACUGAGACACGGCCCAGACUCCUACGGGAGGCAGCAGUGGGGAAUAUUGCACAAUGGGCGCAAGCCUGAUGCAGCGACGCCGCGUGAGGGAUGGAGGCCUUCGGGUUGUGAACCUCUUUCGCCAGUGAAGCAGGCCUGCCUCUUUUUGUGGGUGGGUUGACGGUAGCUGGAUAAGAAGCGCCGGCUAACUACGUG
rnacentral:rRNA from 1 species